GUGCUUGUGUGAAGAUGCAGGCAAAGCACUAAAGCCACAGAAAUGGCUAACUCCAAGACCCAUUCUAUAGCCUCCUGACACUGCCUGUUACACUCUCAUCUUUCGUUUCUCUUUUCCUUCUCCAUUUUGUUCCUUUUGCUUGUUCCUUUUGCUUAUUCCUUUUGCUUAUUCCUUUUGAUGAAGCAGACGUUUGGCUCUGCAUUCCAUGCCACCUAUUUUAUUUUUCUUCUUCCACCAUCCCUAUCCCUUUUCCAUACUUUCCCCCAUAAUUCCGUUUUGCUUUGUUCUGCCCCACCCCCCCCCUCCGCUUUUUCAAUUGAACUUUCUUUGGCAGCUCCACGUCACCUUUAGCUGUAAUGUGCUUGUGCGGACAUUUUGGUUAAGGGCAUGCCAGUAUUUGCUAUUUCCUGUUCUUUUCUACUUUACCAUUUCCUUUUCCUGCAAAGCUGAGAGAAAGCGUGGAGCUGGCAUGAUCUGUCUGCCAUGUUAGAAAUGAAUGCAUGUCGAGUUUCUGUGCAUAUAUGUCUACUUCACCUUAAGAAACAUGGAACAUUCCACACACCCAGUGCUACCCAAGCAGCCUAUCAGGCAGUGACACGGAUUUGUGUUACUGCGGGCAGACUUCCAUGCAACAAAGCUGCACAGCAAACUACUGAACAAAUAAUGGCUCCAAAAGAAUUUUGUCUUGGCACAGUUACUUAGUGAUCUCUCUGGAGGUGAUAUCCAGGUUAACAUGUGGAAAUGUUCCUAAGUGACCUGUUUUGGGAUGAUAUCCAGAUUUGCUUGUUAUAUUUGGAAAUGUUCCAGAGUGACUUGUUUGGGAUGGUAUCGAGAUCUGCUUGUUAUAUUUGGAAAUGCUUGAACUUUUGUUCCAGUUCCAGAGUGACUUGUUUGGGAUGGUAUCGAGAUCUGCUUGUUAUAUUUGGAAAUGCUUGAACUUUUGUUCCAGUGCCAGAGUGGCCUGUUUGGGAUGGUAUCGAGAUCUGCUUGUUAUAUUUGGAAAUGCUUGAACUUUUGUUCCAGUUCCAGAGUGGCCUGUUUGGGAUGGUAUCGAGAUCUGCUUGUUAUAUUGGAAAUGGUCACUCGUUUACCGCUUAGCUGAUAACCUAUUGGCUCCUUCUUUGAAACCAAUGAUAUUGAGUUCCUUAGUGUUGCCUCUUAUGGUGAUAUCCAAAAUUGUCUGGGACAGAAAUGUUUGAGUGGCCUUUCGGGAAGGUAUCUAGAUAUGCGUGCCAUUUUCAAAGCUCUCAAAACAAUCUGCUCGGAUGUUUGUAAGAUGUUUGUAACUGAUAAGAUAUUUUAGUUAACCUUAAAUCUGAUCUGCUGGUCACUGAGAGUGCCAUUCUGCUAUUUCUUGUGGCUUACUAUACUAUACUAUAAGCUGCUCUAAAGAUUUUGAAAACUGCUGCCAGUCUUACCACCACUGAUCUACUCUACCCUUUGUGGCCUUGAAAAUGUUAAGAAAUUCUGUUAUAGCAGCCAAUCGGCACUCAUCUGCUGGCCAUAUAUGAGUCAGGCAGGUCUUUUGGUGGGCCUUCUGUACACCGUUACUGAAUGAUCAUAAAUCUGCCUCUGUAUAGCCAUUUUUAGUCCUGUGUUCCUUAUUUUUGAAGGCUAGUGUUGACCCCAAGUCCUUUGCAUUGUUCUGUAGGGUAACUUGUUGAAUUAUUUUGCUGCGGCAGUAAUGCACUCGAAGGGGAACCAUAUUAUAUUACUACAUUACAAUGUACGCUAUACUUUAUUAAAAUUUGUUUUUAAAAAUA